rnacentral:rRNA from 1 species
UACGGGGGGAGCAAGCGUUGUCCGGAUUUACUGGGCGUAAAGGGCGCGUAGGCGGCAUGCCAAGCGUGUGGUGAAAGCCCGGGGCUCAACCCCGGGUCGGCCGUGCGGACUGGCGUGCUCGAGCACUGUAGGGGCGGGUGGAAUUCCGGGUGUAGCGGUGGAAUGCGUAGAGAUCCGGAAGAACACCGGUGGCGAAGGCGGCCCGCUGGGCAGGAAGGCUCGCAAGAGCCGGCUGACGCUGAGGCGCGACAGCGUGGGGAGCAAACAGG